UUACAUAUAAGAUGAAGAAUGGAAGGAAGAGAAAGCAUCAGACCCUAACCCCUUCUUCUAGCUAAACUCAGGCCACCUCCUCCUCUUCUUAAACAAAUUCAACUUUCUUUCAUUUCUUUCAUUUCCAUUGCAAAAAUCAUCUCUUUAAACUCAAUUAAUGUCUAGUUUCAACCUCCUUUUUACUCCUCCCUCACACAUGCAUCUCCCUAUGUUAACUCUCAUGGAUGGAAAAGCUAAUCCUCACAAUUAGAGCUUUGCAUGAGUGAAGUUCUUCCACGGUUUCCUCACUAAAAUCCACACAAAGGUAAUUUUCAGUUUGAUUAUCUUCCUUUCCCUAAGAUGGCCGAAAUUUUAUUUACUCGAAAACCCAAUUUUAAUCUCUUCAAAAUUCUGUCUUGGCCAAACCCUCUCUAUAAAGAGGGGUAAUUCCUAAUCCUCUUUUCUUUUCCCCAAUAAAAUGUGUUGCAUGUGAUGGAUUGAGCAAUUGCAAGCUGCUGAAGAGUUUCAAGGAGCAGUUUAAGGUCAAGAACAUGAGCUGUAUGAGAGAUUGAAAGUUUGGGUUAUUGGGGAUUGAAGCUCAAUUUGAUGCAUAAGCUGCCGGAAGGAUCCAAAACCAGCUGAGGUGCUAAUCGAGUCAUAGCCGUUGCUGUGUAUCCCAGACUUAUGUAAUUGUUGCAUUUUUGGAUUCUACAUUUAAUUCCUUUCAGUUUGGAUAUAAAUUUGAAUAAGCUAAAAUGUGAGUUUAAGUUGGGUGAAUGAUUUCAUGACUGAUCAUGUAUGCUUAAUUGGCUGAGUAAGAGUUUGGGUUGAGGUUGAAAUGCAAAAAUUAGAAGUUGGAAGUCAGUAGCAGUUUAUGCAGAAAAUCUAUCGCGAGUUUGCUUAUGCGAGCGGCACCAUCGGAUGGUUCUAAGCGGGCGAGAUGGCUCGGUACUGCUUGCAAUUUCAGAUAGACAGAUUGAUCGAGGUGUCGAGGCCUUGAAGCAUGAAGUUCAGAUAUGUGGAAUACACUAUUGAGCUGAUGUUAAGAUUUUCUUAUAUGUUGUAUAAGACUCGGUUAGAUUAUGUAUUUAGAUGUUAGCUCAAUUUUGUAUUCACUUCUUGGAUUUUGUAAUCCUAUUCAUGUGUUUCUAAUGUAAUUAAUGUUUCCCGAUUCAGUUGUGUACACUCUUGUCGAUAUUCUAGAUAAAUUGACAUGGGGUGUUACAUAGGUAGUCCAAGAAACAAUCAGAUCACGAACUUCUUUAUCUUCUUUAAAGAGAUUGAUAUAGAAUUCUCGUACCAAGUCUUUAAGGCUUUCUGGUUCAUCCACCCAUGUUCUAUCCUCUUUGCGCAAAGAAAUGAUUUUGUUGCGUCUC